rnacentral:rRNA from 1 species
UACGGAGGGUGCAAGCGUUAUCCGGAAUCAUUGGGUUUAAAGGGUCCGUAGGCGGAUCGAUAAGUCAGAGGUGAAAUCCCACAGCUCAACUGUGGAACUGCCUUUGAUACUGUUGGUCUUGAGUUAUAUGGAAGUAGAUAGAAUGUGUAGUGUAGCGGUGAAAUGCAUAGAGAUUACACAGAAUACCGAUUGCGAAGGCAGUCUACUACGUAUAUACUGACGCUCAUGGACGAAAGCGUGGGGAGCGAACAGG